rnacentral:rRNA from 1 species
GACGAACGCUGGCGGCGUGCUUAACACAUGCAAGUCGAACGGAAAGGCCCUGCUUUUGUGGGGUGCUCGAGUGGCGAACGGGUGAGUAACACGUGAGUAACCUGCCCUUGGCUUUGGGAUAACUUCAGGAAACUGGGGCUAAUACCGGAUAGGAGCUCCUGCUGCAUGGUGGGGGUUGGAAAGUUCCGGCGGUUGGGGAUGGACUCGCGGCUUAUCAGCUUGUUGGUGGGGUAGUGGCUUACCAAGGCUUUGACGGGUAGCCGGCCUGAGAGGGUGACCGGCCACAUUGGGACUGAGAUACGGCCCAGACUCCUACGGGAGGCAGCAGUGGGGAAUAUUGCACAAUGGGCGGAAGCCUGAUGCAGCAACGCCGCGUGCGGGAUGACGGCCUUCGGGUUGUAAACCGCUUUCGCCUGUGACGAAGCGUGAGUGACGGUAAUGGGUAAAGAAGCACCGGCUAACUACGUG